UACGUAGGGUGCAAGCGUUGUCCGGAAUUAUUGGGCGUAAAGAGCUCGUAGGCGGUCUGUCGCGUCGGCUGUGAAAACUCGGGGCUCAACUCCGAGCUUGCAGUCGAUACGGGCAGACUGGAGGUAUGCAGGGGGAGAACGGAAUUCCUGGUGUAGCGGUGAAAUGCGCAGAUAUCAGGAGGAACACCGGUGGCGAAGGCGGUUCUCUGGGCAUGUCCUGACGUGAGGAGCGAAAGUGUGGGGGAGCGAACAGG
rnacentral:rRNA from 1 species